rnacentral:rRNA from 1 species
UGCAGUCGAGCGGAUCGAUGGGAGCUUGCUCCCUGAGAUCAGCGGCGGACGGGUGAGUAACACGUGGGUAACCUGCCUGUAAGACUGGGAUAACUCCGGGAAACCGGGGCUAAUACCGGAUAACACCUACCCCCGCAUGGGGGAAGGUUGAAAGGUGGCUUCGGCUAUCACUUACAGAUGGACCCGCGGCGCAUUAGCUAGUUGGUGAGGUAAUGGCUCACCAAGGCGACGAUGCGUAGCCGACCUGAGAGGGUGAUCGGCCACACUGGGACUGAGACACGGCCCAGACUCCUACGGGAGGCAGCAGUAGGGAAUCUUCCGCAAUGGACGAAAGUCUGACGGAGCAACGCCGCGUGAGUGAAGAAGGUUUUCGGAUCGUAAAACUCUGUUGUUAGGGAAGAACAAGUGCCGUUCGAAUAGGGCGGCGCCUUGACGGUACCUAACCAGAAAGCCACGGCUAACUACGUGCCAGCAGCCGCGGUAAUACGUAGGUGGCAAGCGUUGUCCGGAAUUAUUGGGCGUAAAGCGCGCGCAGGUGGUUUCUUAAGUCUGAUGUGAAAGCCCACGGCUCAACCGUGGAGGGUCAUUGGAAACUGGGGA